GAAGAUUAUAUUAUAAUACCUAUAUAAAGAGCGGUGUAGAUACUCCAGCGAGCUUUUAUAACGUCUCAGACACUGUAAUAUCGAUUUAUUAUUUCAUUAUUGGACCGAUUUAAUACAAUUGUAAAUUUUAAUAUGUAUAUUCGACGAGUUUAUAUAUAUAUUUUUUUUUUUUAUCGCAGUCUGUCACAAACGAACCGUAAAAGAUCUCUUAUCAAUUAUGAAAUAGAUGUGUCUAUAUAUUAUUAUGAAA